UACGAAGGGGGGCUAGCGUUGCUCGGAAUCACUGGGCGUAAAGCGCACGUAGGCGGCUUGUUAAGUCAGGGGUGAAAUCCUGGAGCUCAACUCCAGAACUGCCUUUGAUACUGGCGAGCUCGAGUCCGGGAGAGGUGAGUGGAACUGCGAGUGUAGAGGUGAAAUUCGUAGAUAUUCGCAAGAACACCAGUGGCGAAGGCGGCUCACUGGCCCGGAACUGACGCUGAGGAGCGAAAGCGUGGGUAGCGAACAGG
rnacentral:rRNA from 1 species